rnacentral:lncRNA from 1 species
CAGCGGACGCAGCAACGACCUUCACCAGUGUGAAGUGCAGAGGGACGAUCGGCGGGAGGGGAGGCGCGCGGCUAUACUGGUAGGCGGAGUGAUGGGACGACUUUGUUAGAGUUUAGGAUAUGCUUUGUUUGAGUCCGAUUUUCACGUACCCUACCCGUUUACAUCUGUAGGUUAGAUCUUCCCUUAAAUUAUCAAAACAACGUCGUUUUAUACACCGAAUUGAAAUUACUUAAUUUAAAAUUUUAAAUAAAAUAAAAUUUAAUU